UGGGGAAUCUUAGACAAUGGGGGCAACCCUGAUCUAGCCAUGCCGCGUGAGUGAUGAAGGCCUUAGGGUUGUAAAGCUCUUUCAGCUGGGAAGAUAAUGACGGUACCAGCAGAAGAAGCCCCGGCUAACUCCGUGCCAGCAGCCGCGGUAAUACGGAGGGGGCUAGCGUUGUUCGGAAUUACUGGGCGUAAAGCGCACGUAGGCGGACUGGAAAGUUGGAGGUGAAAUCCCAGGGCUCAACCUUGGAACUGCCUUCAAAACUAUCAGUCUGGAGUUCGAGAGAGGUGAGUGGAAUUCCGAGUGUAGAGGUGAAAUUCGUAGAUAUUCGGAGGAACACCAGUGGCGAAGGCGGCUCACUGGCUCGAUACUGACGCUGGGGAGCGAAAGCGUGGGGAGCAAACAGGAUUAGAUACACUGGUAGUC
rnacentral:rRNA from 1 species